rnacentral:rRNA from 1 species
AUUGAACGCUGGCGGCAGGCUUAUCACAUGCAAGUCGAGCGGAGCGAGGGUGCUUGCACCUUAGCUUAGCGGCGGACGGGUGAGUAAUGCUUAGGAAUCUGCAUAUUAGUGGGGGACAACAUUCCGAAAGGAAUGCUAAUACCGCAUACGCCCUACGGGGGAAAGCAGGGGAUCUUCGGACCUUGCGCUAAUAGAUGAGCCUAAGUCGGAUUAGCUAGUGGGGGGGGUCAAGGCCUACCAAGGCGACGAUUUGUAGCGGGUCUGAGGGGAUAAUCCGCCACACUGGGACUGGACCACGGCCCAGACCCCUACGGGAGACAGCAGUGGGGAAUAUUGGACAAGGGGCGGAAGCCUGAUCCAGCCAUGCCGCGUGUGUGAAGAAGGCCUUUUGGUUGUAAAGCACUUUAAGCGAGGAGGAGGCUACUUAGAUUAAUACUCUGGGAUAGUGGACGUUACUCGCAGAAUAAGCACCGGCAAACUCUGUGCCAGCCGCCGCAGUAACAC